rnacentral:misc_RNA from 1 species
AAUCAACUAAAAAGAUCAGGAGAAUGUUUUAAUAUUCUAUGGAACAGUCGAACGUUAAUGUAAUAUACACAUUUGACUUGUCAAGUGGUUAGGAAAUUUGAUUCACAGAAGUUAGAAAUCUCAAAUUCCUAAACGGUAAUCACUCGCAAACUACCAAAAUCAAAUUUUAAUUUUACAACAGCUUGGAAGCAGAAUUUGAAAUAAUAUACCAGACAAUGAAUCAAUCUACUAGUGAAGCCCAACCACAGACUUGUCAAGCCCAGAAACAUCUCAGCAAAAUACUGUUAGCAUGAAGAAUGGGGUCUUCUCAUCUAAAAUUGUAAAUCACAAAGACUCCGGAGUCGUAGAGGGUCUUAUUCUCGAGGGCAUUUGCAUUUGUUCCCCUCCAAAUCUAUAAGUGAAGCCAUUCUUGGGUGUGAUAGACAUUUUGUUCAUUGCAUAGUCAAAUUCAUCAAGAUCAAGAUGUUGCUCAUCUAAACUCCCUGCCCCCUCUUCUUCCAUAAAACUCUCCCCAUUAACUACAACAAAAUCUUCUGUAAUAUCUUCAUCGCUGCUAUCUUCCUCAUCACUACCAUAAGUAGUUCUGACAUGCUUCCAGUACACAAAAUUUGGGCGGAUAUAACCUCUGUCACAUUUUUUCAGCAAACAUGGGUCAAAUGGGAAGAACAUGUCCAGUCUCUCCAGUCCACCAAAGUCCCUAGAGAAAUCCGAUUCCAACAAAUCUUCAAAAAUGAAUGUUUCAGAUGUGGUGAGCAAAUAAGCAGCUUUUGCCUGUUUGAGAAACUCUUCUACUAUGGAUGGCAGGCAUACCUUAAGAGGAUCCAAUUUAUGUUUCAAGACUGGCCCUAGAGGCAUGACCAGAAGCUGAGAUUUGAGCCUAGGAACAUCCAUAAGAGACCUCAUUCGAAAGCAGAGAACAUACAUUAUGGCCUGGCAUCCAGAAUAGAAAACUCGAUGUGCUUUCGGGUUCAUUUCACCAUUCUGGGUUUCACAAUAUUCCAAACACCAGUCCACCAGCCUUUUCAAUGUGCUAGCAACAAAAGCAGCAGACAGAAACUUUGCACGAGCCAAAUAACUAGCAAGAUAAGCCACAGCACUCAUUCUGGUAACGGCGUUGUCACUGCAAACAAACCUAUCUACAAGCGUGUUGGCAAAUUUCACGCCACAUUUUUCAGGAUCCAGUGCACAGGCAUAGAACAUUACAAACUGAGCAAACUUUGACUUGUAUGUGUUUAGGAUAGUUAGCAUGAAUGAAUCCAAAAGAGUUUCAAACACCUCACCCAAACGCUUAUUUCUUGCACACGAUUCAAGAUGCUCAAAAGUUUGCACCAUCAAGCUAUCUAAUAGAUCAGCAACAAUGUUUUUACCUAAACUCUUACGAUUUAAAGUUCUUGGAAGCUCGGCAUAAUCAUUUUCAUCAUUAUCAUCAUCAGCAGCAACCUCAUCUGCAUCUUCUAGCUCAAUUGCAAAAAUUCCUUUACAAGAGUCAUCUUGUAAAAUGUCAUCCCAACCAAUAGCCACAUCCAACUCGAUCAGCAUAUCAACCACUGCCAUAAGCAUCCUGCUUCCAACAAAUUCUCUGAUUGCACCACUCUCUAAUCUUAAAAUGUUCUCCACAUAGACCUCAGUCUACCAAAGCAAGUAAAUGAGUCUCCAUAUUAGAUGAUCUAGAAAAACUUGUAAUCGAUAGUAGGAAAUAUUUCUCGGAAGCAAAUCAUAAAAGCAUCAAUGUUGACCCAUUCAUGGAUGACCUAUAUAUGGGAAACGCAGCACCAGCACCAGCACACUGAAUUAAAUAAUAGAAAGGAAAGCAGAGCUUAACUAUAACUUGCAAUGGCACAGAGAGGUUUACUUUACCCAACCUCAAGCUAAAAUUAACAAGAGAAAUGAUGAAACAGUAUCCUGUAUCAACAAUAAUGCACAUUGAGAGGCUUUAUGUUGUGACCAAGUGUCAAGAAUAGAGUAUAAAUUUGUUGGGAAACAAUGAAACUAAUAUGAAUAGGAGUUGCUCAUAAAUAGCCACAGAAAAUAGAUUGACUAGCAUUCUAAUGGUCCGUAUAAGAGUCGAUAUAAAUUUCAAUUAAAAUCAUUUUACUGCAUACAAGUAAUCUGAUGAACAUUAAGUUCAUGAUAACAAUAACUUCAAAAUGAAUAGACAAUACCAAAUAACGUAGAGGAAAAUGAUUAAUAUAUGAAAUGGAAUACACAGACAUCAGAUACUAGCAUUUUUCAUGCAAAUGGCCAAACGAAUAAUUGGAACAGUCACAGAAGGGACAAAGGGAUCUUCAACUGCAAAUAAUAUAUGCAUGUCUUUACUAAUAAUUCUCUAACCAGGAAAUUCUAAAAUGACAAGGAAUGCAGUACCAAAUUAUAAAUCUAAUCUAAUGAUAACUGUAGACACAUCAUUCAAAAGAGUAAACCAAACUCACUCGAUACAUUAGAUGAUCCUUCUGAAGAUCCUUCUUAAAGGUUGUUGGCAUCCUGUGUACAACUACUGAUGAUAAUCUAGAGGCUGCCAUAGGUAUCAAGUCAACAAUACCUUCCAGAGCUGUAUGCACCCGGGAAAGAACUUGUUCCUUUUUUGCCAGACCACGUGGCUGCUUUAGCGUAUUUACUAAAUACAUUGGUGGCAUGAAAUUGCUUACGAGCAUAUCCAAGCAUGAAUCAACAUACUUUCCAUUUGAAGCAGCCUUUAGAAUAAUAAACAUUAAAAAUAAACAACAAAUAACUCGUAUUAUAGAAAAUACAGCAGAUAUGAAUCACUAAACUACAUACCAAGGCAAUAAUCAGCUCAAGCAAAGCAUCCAUCACAUCAGGUCCAUAUUUCCACAAGCUCAUUCCAAAAAUCUGAUAGAUAGUUCAUUAUGAAAAUAUACAAAUAAUUUUAAUGCAUUAAAUUUAAGAGCUAAUUGAAAUUACACCAACUCACAGAAUUAAGAAGAGAAUCAUGGUGAACAUUGUCAAUAUAAGAAACUGCCCCAGAUAGCGCCUUUAGACUGGUCACAAGAAGGGCCACCUCAUCAGGGGCAAGUCGUUCUGAAUGAUGCAUGACACCAACAAGCUGGUGAUAACUGUCACUAUCUCCCUAAUCCAGCCAAAGUCAGCAUUAUAUUAAUUAAUAAAGUGGAUGUAAUUAUGAAAAGGCCAACAAUACACAUAAUUCAAUAGAUGAAUUGAUCCAGAAAUUAAACAAGUCUAAGUCAAUAGUUCCUUUCAAGACGACUAGCUUGAAAAACUAACUUCUGCGACUGGUGUGUUCCAGUGUUGUGAAAGGCGCUCGAGGCGCCCUGGCAAGGUGCCACUCUCUAGCCUCGCCUGACGCCGCUUGGGU